AUGGUAGGAUAGAGGCCUACCAUGGUGGUAACGGGUAACGGGGUGUUAGGGCACGACACCGGAGAGGGAGCCUGAGAAACGGCUACCACAUCCAAGGAAGGCAGCAGGCGCGCAAAUUACCCAAUCCCGACACGGGGAGGUAGUGACAAUAAAUAACAAUACAGGGUUCUUUGAAUCUUGUAAUUGGAAUGAGUACAAUUUAAAUCUCUUAACGAGGAGCAAUUGGAGGGCAAGUCUGGUGCCAGCAGCCGCGGUAAUUCCAGCUCCAAUAGCGUAUAUUAAAGUUGUUGCAGUUAAAAAGCUCGUAGUUGAAUUUCGGGAUCAAUACGUCGGUCGUGCUUUCGGGUACGUACUGGCGUCAUUGGUUUCUCCUUUCUGACGAACCAUGAUGUCAUUAAUUUGGUGUUAUGGGGAGUUAGGACUGUUACUUUGAAAAAAUUAGAGUGUUUAAAGCAGGCAUUAGCUUGAAUACAUUAGCAUGGAAUAAUGAAAUAGGACGUUCGAUCCUAUUUUGUUGGUUUCUAGGAUCAACGUAAUGAUUAAUAGGGAUAGUUGGGGGCAUUAGUAUUCAAUUGUCAGAGGUGAAAUUCUUGGAUUUAUUGAAGACUAACUACUGCGAAAGCAUUUGCCAAGGAUGUUUUCAUUAAUCAAGAACGAAAGUUAGGGGAUCGAAGACGAUCAGAUACCGUCGUAGUCUUAACCAUAAACUAUGCCGACUAGGGAUCGGAUGAUGUUAAUUUUUUAAUGACUCAUUCGGCGCCUUACGGGAAACCAAAGUGUUUGGG
rnacentral:rRNA from 1 species